CCCCAUGUCGCCCAUACGUACACAACAUAAAUCAAACUUAGAUGAUCUUCAGAGCAGGUUACAAAAGCAAGUUUUGGACAGCAGAAGACAGCAUCUCUCAGAAAAAGUAAAAUACCAACAUAAGCUGUCACAAGUAAUGGAAUUAGGCUAUGUUGAUUCUAGUAUGGAAAAUGAAGACAACAUGGCAAGAGUUUUUAGUGCUUGUCCGUUGUCCUCUGGUUUUCAGUUCUCUAACAGUACACAGCUUUCAGAAGAAAAUUUCAACACAAACCUAAUGGGUGACAUUUGGGAACAGAUCUAUGAAAAGAAACUGCAAAACCAGGUUUGGUUAAUGUUUUACUACCAUGGAAUUACUUUAAACUAACUUUCAUUUAUUUAGUGUGUAAAGCUAGUGUAAUGAUGAUGAUAAUUAUGGUUGAUCAACAUUUUUUGUAGGCUGGUGGCUGUGAAUAUUCUGUAUAUACAAAUAUAUUUAUAUUAUUGUCC
rnacentral:lncRNA from 1 species